CCCUUAGAUGUCCGGGGCCGCACGCGCGCUACACUGAAGGAAUCAGCGUGGCUUUCUCCCUGACCCGAAAGGGUUGGGAAACCAGUUGAAUCUCCUUCGUGAUAGGGAUUGGGGCUUGAAAUUGUUCCCCAUGAACGAGGAAUUCCCAGUAAGCGCGAGUCAUAAGCUCGCGUUGAUUACGUCCCUGCCCUUUGUACACACCGCCCGUCGCUACUACCGAUUGAACGGUUUAGUGAGGGCCUCGGAUUGGUCUCGGCCCGCUCUUUACCGGGCGGCGCCGUUGGUCGAGAAGACGCUCGAACUUGAUCGUUUAGAGGAAGUAAAAGUCGUAACA
rnacentral:rRNA from 1 species